GUGGGCGUAGCUCAGUUGGUAGAGCACAGGAUUGUGGCUCCUGGUGUCGUGGGUUCGAUUCCCUUCGCCCGCUCCA
rnacentral:tRNA from 1 species